CAGAAGUUCAGAAACUGAAUAAUGUAAAGAAGGAACUCCUUGGGGAAAUUCAGACCCUCAAACAAGAACUUGCAAGAUCACAAGCUGAUAACCAACAGAUUCCUGUUUUGCAGGGUGAGAUUGAGGGCCUGCACCAGGAGCUUAUGCAUGCUAGAACUGCUAUUGAUUAUGAAAAGAAGGCAAACAUUGAGUUGGUGGAGCAGAGACAGGCAAUGGAGAAGAACAUGAUUUCUAUGGCACGUGAAGUUGAAAAGCUACGGGCUGAACU
rnacentral:misc_RNA from 1 species